AAAAAAUAAAACAUAAAAGAUCCUUACAAUCUCUCCUUCUAAAAAUAAGGCAUAUCAAUUUCUUCCUAACCAAGAAUUAGCACAGAAAAGAUCAAUCUAUGGUCACAGCUCCAGCUUGCCCGUUUUACCUGCCUUCUAAAGAAGGGACUGAAACAAAAGUUGGAACAUGAGUUCAAAUUAAAUUCAAAAAGGCACAAUUGUUUUGGAAGCAAGAAUAAUGUUUUCUCCUAAUGCUUCCUAUUCCCAUAUAGCGACAGUAUAUGACUAUCAUCCUUCAU
rnacentral:lncRNA from 1 species